CGAUACAGGGUGACAGCCCCGUACACAAAAAUGCACAUAUUGUGAGCUUGAUGAGUAGGGCGGGACACGUGGUAUCCUGUCUGAAUAUGGGGGGACCAUCCUCCAAGGCUAAAUACUCCUGACUGACCGAUAGUGAACCAGUACCGUGAGGGAAAGGCGAAAAGAACCCCGGCGAGGGGAGUGAAAAAGAACCUGAAACCGUGUACGUACAAGCAGUGGGAGCACGCUUAGGCGUGUGACUGCGUACCUUUUGUAUAAUGGGUCAGCGACUUAUAUUCUGUAGCAAGGUUAACCGAAUAGGGGAGCCGAAGGGAAACCGAGUCUUAACUGGGCGUUAAGUUGCAGGGUAUAGACCCGAAACCCGGUGAUCUAGCCAUGGGCAGGUUGAAGGUUGGGUAACACUAACUGGAGGACCGAACCGACUAAUGUUGAAAAAUUAGCGGAUGACUUGUGGCUGGGGGUGAAAGGCCAAUCAAACCGGGAGAUAGCUGGUUCUCCCCGAAAGCUAUUUAGGUAGCGCCUCGUGAAUUCAUCUCCGGGGGUAGAGCACUGUUUCGGCAAGGGGGUCAUCCCGACUUACCAACCCGAUGCAAACUGCGAAUACCGGAGAAUGUUAUCACGGGAGACACACGGCGGGUGCUAACGUCCGUCGUGAAGAGGGAAACAACCCAGACCGCCAGCUAAGGUCCCAAAGUCAUGGUUAAGUGGGAAACGAUGUGGGAAGGCCCAGACAGCCAGGAUGUUGGCUUAGAAGCAGCCAUCAUUUAAAGAAAGCGUAAUAGCUCACUGGUCGAGUCGGCCUGCGCGGAAGAUGUAACGGGGCUAAACCAUGCACCGAAGCUGCGGCAGCGACGCUUAUGCGUUGUUGGGUAGGGGAGCGUUCUGUAAGCCUGCGAAGGUGUGCUGUGAGGCAUGCUGGAGGUAUCAGAAGUGCGAAUGCUGACAUAAGUAACGAUAAAGCGGGUGAAAAGCCCGCUCGCCGGAAGACCAAGGGUUCCUGUCCAACGUUAAUCGGGGCAGGGUGAGUCGACCCCUAAGGCGAGGCCGAAAGGCGUAGUCGAUGGGAAACAGGUUAAUAUUCCUGUACUUGGUGUUACUGCGAAGGGGGGACGGAGAAGGCUAUGUUGGCCGGGCGACGGUUGUCCCGGUUUAAGCGUGUAGGCUGGUUUUCCAGGCAAAUCCGGAAAAUCAAGGCUGAGGCGUGAUGACGAGGCACUACGGUGCUGAAGCAACAAAUGCCCUGCUUCCAGGAAAAGCCUCUAAGCAUCAGGUAACAUCAAAUCGUACCCCAAACCGACACAGGUGGUCAGGUAGAGAAUACCAAGGCGCUUGAGAGAACUCGGGUGAAGGAACUAGGCAAAAUGGUGCCGUAACUUCGGGAGAAGGCACGCUGAUAUGUAGGUGAAGUCCCUUGCGGAUGGAGCUGAAAUCAGUCGAAGAUACCAGCUGGCUGCAACUGUUUAUUAAAAACACAGCACUGUGCAAACACGAAAGUGGACGUAUACGGUGUGACGCCUGCCCGGUGCCGGAAGGUUAAUUGAUGGGGUCAGCGCAAGCGAAGCUCUUGAUCGAAGCCCCGGUAAACGGCGGCCGUAACUAUAACGGUCCUAAGGUAGCGAAAUUCCUUGUCGGGUAAGUUCCGACCUGCACGAAUGGCGUAAUGAUGGCCAGGCUGUCUCCACCCGAGACUCAGUGAAAUUGAACUCGCUGUGAAGAUGCAGUGUACCCGCGGCAAGACGGAAAGACCCCGUGAACCUUUACUAUAGCUUGACACUGAACAUUGAGCCUUGAUGUGUAGGAUAGGUGGGAGGCUUUGAAGUGUGGACGCCAGUCUGCAUGGAGCCGGCCUUGAAAUACCACCCUUUAAUGUUUGAUGUUCUAACGUGGACCCGUGAUCCGGGUUGCGGACAGUGUCUGGUGGGUAGUUUGACUGGGGCGGUCUCCUCCUAAAGAGUAACGGAGGAGCACGAAGGUUGGCUAAUCCUGGUCGGACAUCAGGAGGUUAGUGCAAUGGCAUAAGCCAGCUUGACUGCGAGCGUGACGGCGCGAGCAGGUGCGAAAGCAGGUCAUAGUGAUCCGGUGGUUCUGAAUGGAAGGGCCAUCGCUCAACGGAUAAAAGGUACUCCGGGGAUAACAGGCUGAUACCGCCCAAGAGUUCAUAUCGACGGCGGUGUUUGGCACCUCGAUGUCGGCUCAUCACAUCCUGGGGCUGAAGUAGGUCCCAAGGGUAUGGCUGUUCGCCAUUUAAAGUGGUACGCGAGCUGGGUUUAGAACGUCGUGAGACAGUUCGGUCCCUAUCUGCCGUGGGCGCUGGAGAACUGAGGGGGGCUGCUCCUAGUACGAGAGGACCGGAGUGGACGCAUCACUGGUGUUCGGGUUGUCAUGCCAAUGGCACUGCCCGGUAGCUAAAUGCGGAAGAGAUAAGUGCUGAAAGCAUCUAAGCACGAAACUUGCCCCGAGAUGAGUUCUCCCUGACCCUUUAAGGGUCCUGAAGGAACGUUGAAGACGACGACGUUGAUAGGCCGGGUGUGUAAGCGCAGCGAUGCGUUGAGCUAACCGGUACUAAUGAACCGUGAGG
rnacentral:rRNA from 1 species